UACAGAGGUCUCAAGCGUUGUUCGGAUUCAUUGGGCGUAAAGGGUGUGUAGGUGGCGCCGUAAGUCGGGUGUGAAAUUUCGGAGCUUAACUCCGAAACUGCAUUCGAUACUGCGGUGCUUGAGGACUGGAGAGGAGACUGGAAUUCAUGGUGUAGCAGUGAAAUGCGUAGAGAUCAUGAGGAAGACCAGUGGCGAAGGCGGGUCUCUGGGCAAUUCCUGACGCUGAGGCGCGAAAGCGUGGGGAGCAAACGGG
rnacentral:rRNA from 1 species